UACUGCGCGCCGUCCGCGCCCACCCGACAGCUGCUCGCGACGUGUUGUUAGCC
rnacentral:sRNA from 1 species